rnacentral:lncRNA from 1 species
GAUUCCUAUUUUUGGUCUCAGAUUGUGCCGAGGGCACAUGGGUUUGGUUUCUAGACCUGUUUUGACCCUAGCUACUUGACUUUGGCUUGUUAGAGCCUGAUUGAGCUCGACAGAGAUACGCUAUAUACUCGGUUGGGUAGCUCCCACGAGUGCCACUUCGGAGACGGGCGCUGUGCUUUUGCGUUGGUGUCGUUCGUGCAGGUUGGACUUGCUCUCCACGGACUGGUUAGUGUGGAGGUAGCUGUAUAGUCGCGACUGGGCGGGACCGGUGUGUUCACAGUCCCAGGGACGGGUAUGAUUGCAGUCCUUAUUUGAGAUUGGGUCUGAGUUGACACUGUUCUACAGAUGGUUAGAUUUAGAGCAUGAUAGUAUAGGGGCAUAUAGCUGUAGAUUUGUUCCAGCUUUCUUUACUAUUCCUGCUUAUCUCUGUAGACUUUGUGGGUGGACCGAUGAGUUUGAGGGCGGUACCUACUGAGGACUACUUAUUUUUAUAGUAGUUCUCAUGCCCAGUUUGUCACGCUCGGGUAUCAGCGGAAGCCUACCCGGUACGCGCACAGACCCGCCACACACCUGCAGUAUAUAUGGCGUCUACAAAAAAAAUUUAUCGAAAGAAGGAAACAUAGAAGAAUCCUAACCUGAUAUCAGAACAAAGUAUAAGUCAAUAAUACCACUAUCAAAAGAACAGUAAGUCUACAACCCAAAAUCUCAACAUCAUAGAGAUACAUCAAACUGUAGUUCCCGGUGCAAACCACACAGACAUCACAGGGUCACUCAAAAUAUAUAUACAAUGGUAGUCUCUCUAUAUACGGGUACAUCACCCUCGGCCGUAGCCCGAGUAGCAAGGUGAUCAUCUAGUCAAGCUCCAAGCUAUAUCUAGCUCGAUGCGACUCCCUUGCUACGAUCCCUAGCCUCUCCUGUAGCAGAGGGGUCUGCAAAAACAACAAUAAAAAUGGCGUGAGAACUAUUAAACAAUAGUUCUCAGUAGGUAAGCCGCCAGCCUCGGCGAAUUAUACCACUAGGCUCAUAAUGUACUAUUAGAAAGAUAAGAACAUUUAUUGCAUGAUAAGUAUAUCAAUGAUAAUUAACGAAGAGCACGUAUCAUACUAUCAACUAUUUUAACCCAUUAGAAGCAAGUACAGUGAUUCAAUGCAUUAACUACUUGUAAGUAAGCAAGGUAGUCAUUUAAAGCAUAAACAUGUCCUUGGAAACGUAAUGGUACAUCAAUCCUUAGUAAUCAUUUACUAUUAUUGUUUAGUAAUUUUAGUUUAUCUAUAAGGACCUACUCAAGGUAGUCCAGCUUGCGCCGCGCCUAAUAGCCCCGUGGUAUUAUACACUCCCCACGGCAAUCCACUUCGGCAUCCAAUCCCGCACGGGCGAGCAAUCUGUCGCGUAGGCCAACUCCGGAGUGCCGGCUUGUAAGGAGCGACCCUCACAAGCAUGUGCGAAAGAGCACAGUGGCAAGCAAGCACGAUCCAUAGUCUUACAGUUCUCAAUCAUCAUGUAUCAAGUAUAUAAGUUCCUAUUCUCGACCAAUAGGUCGGAAUUCAAUCAUAAUGUGACAUACCGGUAUCCACUAAAUUCAGCAACUAUAUAAAACAAUGCAUGUGUAUGUAUCUGUCAUUAGUGUUGAAGCUAGUCAAUACGGAUGCACAACCUAUCAGGUUACAAUUAACCUUCUUGCUCUCUACCUCAUAAAAAUAUGACGGAGACGUUUGAUGUUAUGUAGUUAAUGUGAGAUACCUGGUGUACAGUAGUGAAAGCUUGUCGACAGCUCUGGAGAGUGUCGGGACAAGUCUGAGUCACGUUGGCGCGAAAUAGACGCAAAACGGACUCUGUGCGACGCGAGAGCAGCAUUUAGCAAGAAAUUCUGCAAAUAGCUGUUUUCUGCUUGCUGUACCGGUACAGCCAUAACGGUGUACCGGUACACUGCUCAGGGCUUCACGCAACUUGCUCUCAGGUUGACCUCUGUACCGGUACACGGGCCCGUGUACCGGUACACCAGGGUAGGUAGGAGGACUUUUGGUCUUUUUCCACCUCGUUCGUGUCACCCUUUCUCUCUCUCUCUAUUUAGGCUUGUGUAGAGCUGAGAGAGAGAGAGAGAAUUUUCACUGUCCUUCUUCUCCCCUCUCUCUAGCUUGGACCGUGGGUAAGGAGGAGCUCGGGUAGAGUUCGAGUGUCAUCGACGUCGCGCCGCGGUGCCAUUCGAGUGUGUUUUCAUCGUCGUGGUGCUGCGAGGAGGCUGGAUGAGCAUGGUUUUUCACCGUCCUCGACGUUGUGCCGAUUCUAGAGGGGUUUUCGAGGUGAGUGAUCCAUCGAAAUCACUUCAAUUACUUCAAGCUCCUUCAAUUUCGAGCUAGGAUGUUGUUUUGCAGAAUUUCCGCGUCGACAGUCGGCAUUUCGGCUUGUACGCGACGUAGGAGUGUCGGAUUGCGACGAAAUUUGGUUCGUUGGAUUCAGGACUUCGAGAGGAAUCCACAAAGCCCAAGAUUACAGGAUUUGGUGAAGGUUAUCUUGGUCGAACCCUUAUUUUUACCGUGCUGUUGUUAUACGUGGACAGAAUUGAUGGAUUUUGAUUGUAGAGCUUGGAGUUAGCUCGAUUUCUGGACUUGGAGGAUUUCGAUCGAUCCAGCAGGUUAUUCCGCAGCUGAGGGAGUUCAUUGCUGCCAGGGAUUAGCUCUCGAGGUGGGUUUUCAUCGGGUUUACUCCUAAGUAAAGAUUAGUAAACAUGUAUAGUUUCCGAUUGUUUAUACUUCGUACUCGCUUAAAUUCAUUGAGUAGCGUAUUGGCUGAAAUUUGAAUUUGAAGCAUGUGUGGAAUCUAGUUAAACUAUACGUGUUGGACUUGGAAAUUAAAUUAGGAGAAAACCAGUGAUUUGGACCUGUCACUUGUUUACACUACCUGAUUUAGCUCUAGGAGCCGUUGUAAUUUUGUAUCGUCGCAGUAUCGAGGCGACGGAUACCCUAGGUAGUUUAGCUCUCAGUUACACUCGUGCUGGAAUGCCAAGUGUAUUUUUGCAGUAGCGUUCAGGCUGUUCCGGGCUGUUGGGUGCUGUCGAGGUUGACGGUGAACCCAUAUCGCCUUUUUGGCGUCGGAUUAUGCCGAGGGCACGUGACUGUUGGUUGUUAGACCAGUUAGUGUCGGUUACUUGGACUUUGGCUUGAGAGAGCCUGAUUGAGCUCGACAGAGAUACGCUGCAUACUCGGUUGGGUAGCUCCCACGAGUGCCACUCCGGAGAUGGGCAUUGUGCUUUCGCGUUGGUGUCGUGCAUGCCGGUUAGACUUGCUCUCCACGGACUGGAUAGUGUGGAGGUAGCUGGAUAGUCUCAACUGGGCGGGACGGGUGUGUUCACAGUCCCUAGAACGGGUAUGUUUACAGUCUCUAAAGAGAUUGGGUCAGAAUUGACAUUUCUACAGUAGGUUAGCUUAGAGCAUGAUAGUGUAAUAAAUGGUAGCUGUAGAUUUUAUUCCAGCAUUUAUUAUUACCUUUGCUUCCUUCUGUAGACUUAGUGGGUGGACCGAUGAUGUUGAGGGCGGCACCUACUGAGGACUACUUGUUUUUACAGUAGUUCUCACGUCCUGUUGUUACCCCGUUUUUGCAGAGUCAUCGUCUUCGGCUGCUGCUGUUGCUGAUCAGGAUCGAGGCAAGGGCGUCGCAAGUUAGAGCCCUACCCGACGAGCCAAGCUAGAGGUACCCCUACAGCAAGUAGUUGUUUUUGGUUGUAGUUCAUGUACAUACAGACGUUUAACUCGCCAGUGCGAGUAGUUUUGUAUCUUGGAUUUGGCGUAUGUAUAUGGAACUCGGUUUGUUUGAUUACUGGUUCUUCUAGCAACUCUAUACUACUGUUUGUAGUAUUGUAUGAUUUACAGGUACAGCUAUCGCUGCGUAUAUAGAGAAAAUUUCUUUGUAUACGGCGGAUUUGUCGGCGCGCCCGGGAAACGAGUAAUCCGGGACGUGACAGUUAAACUGAGU